rnacentral:rRNA from 1 species
UGGAGAAUAUUGCGCAAUGGGCGAAAGCCUGACGCAGCAACGCCGCGUGAGUGAUGAAGGCCUUCGGGUCGUAAAGCUCUGUCGGAGGGAACGAAUGCUCUUGAGGUUAACAGCCUCAGGAAAUGACGGUACCCUCAAAGGAAGCACCGGCUAACUCUGUGCCAGCAGCCGCGGUAAGACAGAGGCCACGAACGUUGUUCGGAAUCACUGGGCAUAAAGCGCACGUAGGCGGCUAGGUCCGUCCGAUGUGAAAGCCCCCGGCUCAACCGGGGAAUUGCAUCGGAUACAGCCUGGCUUGAGGACGGUUGGGGUGAGUGGAACUCCUGGUGGAGCGGUGAAAUGCGUAGAUAUCAGGAGGAACACCGGUGGCGAAAGCGGCUCACUGGACCGUUACUGACGCUGAGGUGCGAAAGCUAGGGGANCAAACGGGAUUAGAUACCCACGUAGUCCCUGAGCGGGCUGGCAAGGCGCAU